UACGUAGGGUGCGAGCGUUAAUCGGAAUGACUGGGCGUAAAGGGUGCGCAGGCGGUUGGUCAAGUCGGAUGUGAAAGCCCCGGGCUUAACCUGGGAGGGGCAUUCGUGACUGACGAACUAGAAUAUGGCAGAGGGAGGCGGAAUUCCACAUGUAGCAGUGAAAUGCGUAGAGAUGUGGAGGAACACCGAUGGCGAAGGCAGCCUUCUGGGCUAAUAUUGACGCUGAGGCACGAAAGCGUGGGGAGCAAACAGG
rnacentral:rRNA from 1 species